AGCGUACACGGUGGAUGCCCUGGCAGUCAGAGGCGAUGAAGGACGUGCUAAUCUGCGAUAAGCGUCGGUAAGGUGAUAUGAACCGUUAUAACCGGCGAUUUCCGAAUGGGGAAACCCAGUGUGAUUCGUCACACUAUCAUUACGUGAAUACAUAGCGUAAUGAAGCGAACCGGGGGAACUGAAACAUCUAAGUACCCCGAGGAAAAGAAAUCAACCGAGAUUCCCCCAGUAGCGGCGAGCGAACGGGGAGCAGCCCAGAGUCUGAAUCAGCAUGUGUGGUAGUGGAACGGUCUGGAAAGUCCGACGGUACAGGGUGAUAGUCCCGUACACAAAAGUGCAUGUGUUGUGAACUCGAAGAGUAGGGCGGGACACGUGGUAUCCUGUCUGAAUAUGGGGGGACCAUCCUCCAAGGCUAAAUACUCCUGACUGACCGAUAGUGAACCAGUACCGUGAGGGAAAGGCGAAAAGAACCCCGGCGAGGGGAGUGAAAAAGAACCUGAAACCGUGUACGUACAAGCAGUGGGAGCCUCUUUAUGGGGUGACUGCGUACCUUUUGUAUAAUGGGUCAGCGACUUAUAUUCUGUAGCAAGGUUAACCGAAUAGGGGAGCCGAAGGGAAACCGAGUCUUAACUGGGCGUUAAGUUGCAGGGUAUAGACCCGAAACCCGGUGAUCUAGCCAUGGGCAGGUUGAAGGUUGGGUAACACUAACUGGAGGACCGAACCGACUAAUGUUGAAAAAUUAGCGGAUGACUUGUGGCUGGGGGUGAAAGGCCAAUCAAACCGGGAGAUAGCUGGUUCUCCCCGAAAGCUAUUUAGGUAGCGCCUCGUGAAUUCAUCUUCGGGGGUAGAGCACUGUUUCGGCUAGGGGGUCAUCCCGACUUACCAACCCGAUGCAAACUGCGAAUACCGAAGAAUGUUAUCACGGGAGACACACGGCGGGUGCUAACGUCCGUCGUGAAGAGGGAAACAACCCAGACCGCCAGCUAAGGUCCCAAAGUCAUGGUUAAGUGGGAAACGAUGUGGGAAGGCACAGACAGCCAGGAUGUUGGCUUAGAAGCAGCCAUCAUUUAAAGAAAGCGUAAUAGCUCACUGGUCGAGUCGGCCUGCGCGGAAGAUGUAACGGGGCUAAACCAUGCACCGAAGCUGCGGCAGCGACACUAUGUGUUGUUGGGUAGGGGAGCGUUCUGUAAGCCGUUGAAGGUGUGCUGUGAGGCAUGCUGGAGGUAUCAGAAGUGCGAAUGCUGACAUAAGUAACGAUAAUGCGGGUGAAAAACCCGCACGCCGGAAGACCAAGGGUUCCUGUCCAACGUUAAUCGGGGCAGGGUGAGUCGACCCCUAAGGCGAGGCCGAAAGGCGUAGUCGAUGGGAAACAGGUUAAUAUUCCUGUACUUGGUGUUACUGCGAAGGGGGGACGGAGAAGGCUAUGUUAGCCGGGCGACGGUUGUCCCGGUUUAAGCAUGUAGGCGGAGAUUCCAGGUAAAUCCGGAGUCUUGUUAACGCUGAGGUGUGAUGACGAGGCACUACGGUGCUGAAGUAACAAAUGCCCUGCUUCCAGGAAAAGCCUCUAAGCAUCAGGUAACACAAAAUCGUACCCCAAACCGACACAGGUGGUCAGGUAGAGAAUACCAAGGCGCUUGAGAGAACUCGGGUGAAGGAACUAGGCAAAAUGGUGCCGUAACUUCGGGAGAAGGCACGCUGAUAUGUAGGUGAAGUGAUUUACUCAUGGAGCUGAAAUCAGUCGAAGAUACCAGCUGGCUGCAACUGUUUAUUAAAAACACAGCACUGUGCAAACACGAAAGUGGACGUAUACGGUGUGACGCCUGCCCGGUGCCGGAAGGUUAAUUGAUGGGGUUAUCCGUAAGGAGAAGCUCUUGAUCGAAGCCCCGGUAAACGGCGGCCGUAACUAUAACGGUCCUAAGGUAGCGAAAUUCCUUGUCGGGUAAGUUCCGACCUGCACGAAUGGCGUAAUGAUGGCCAGGCUGUCUCCACCCGAGACUCAGUGAAAUUGAACUCGCUGUGAAGAUGCAGUGUACCCGCGGCAAGACGGAAAGACCCCGUGAACCUUUACUAUAGCUUGACACUGAACACUGGUCCUUGAUGUGUAGGAUAGGUGGGAGGCUUUGAAGUGUGGACGCCAGUCUGCAUGGAGCCAACCUUGAAAUACCACCCUUUAAUGGCUGGUGUUCUAACGUAGACCCGUAAUCCGGGUUGCGGACAGUGUCUGGUGGGUAGUUUGACUGGGGCGGUCUCCUCCUAAAGAGUAACGGAGGAGCACGAAGGUUAGCUAAUCCUGGUCGGACAUCAGGAGGUUAGUGCAAAGGCAUAAGCUAGCUUGACUGCGAGAGUGACGGCUCGAGCAGGUGCGAAAGCAGGUCUUAGUGAUCCGGUGGUUCUGAAUGGAAGGGCCAUCGCUCAACGGAUAAAAGGUACU
rnacentral:rRNA from 1 species